UGAAAGACACGAUUAGAUCAUUUAUUUGUUUAGGAUAAUGUUUCAUUUUCAAACAUGAAACGAUUAAUCCUCUUCAUUUUGUAGCUGUUCAACUGGCGAAGGCUGUGUAUUCCCUUCUUCUACUGGUGGUGCAGGGGAAUUUGCUUGCGACUCGGAAGCCGACAUAUUCUGAGCUUGUGUUUCAGGCUUAACUCCAUUAGUUUGUUCAGCAGAUUCUAGUUGUUCACGAGAUUCCGCAGGUUUCUCUUCUUCAGAGAGUUCCUCAUUGAGGCUGCCCUCGACACUUCUUAGUUUCUCCUCCUCUUCUUCUAAAUCUUUUAUGUUUCCUAAACCAAAUGUAUCAUAUCGGGCACGCUUCAGCUGCAACGAUUCCUCGUCAUUCAAAUCACGAAGGCUCAACUCAAUACCAUCAACAGCAUCAAGACUGACUGGAGCACGAACAUGACGGCGCUUUAGGGUAGAACGAGCAUAAAUAGGUGUGUAUAAAACUUGGUUAGCUUCAGGAUGAUCUUUAUCUGUGUGAAACGUCAAACAAAGAUCUUCAAGCCCUGUGCUAUUGACAUGCAUAGAAGCAUCAAAAUUACGAAAGUGAUUAUAAACAAAUGGUUCAUGAACAUCGGCAGAAGCAUCAUUAACUUUAGCUUGUAUCUCUUCCGCUGUCUCUUCUGAAGGUAAGUAGUAGGAUAAGAAUUCCUCACCCUCUGCAGAAGAAGGCAUGAAUAGAGCGACUUCGUGACGUUUUGUGAGAUUGUGCCCCUCUUGAAGAUUAACCAAGGAACUAUAAGAAUGCGACCGUUCUGACAAAUCGUCAGCAACGCGCAACAUUAAAUGUUGAAUUCCUGCCAUUGAAGUAUUUGGCAACAAGUUCCAGGCUGAUACGGGUUUUAAAUCAGGCUUGGUAGGAUGCUUCAAUUGUUCUAACGGUUGUUGCACAACGUCGAAACUCUCAUUAAUAGCUUCAAGUUGUUUGGGAACCUCGCGAAGCGAACGGCCACGUUGUUCAGCCAAUGCUUUACUAGUAGAUGCUGUAAGUCGUAAAUUUCCCCGAUUGGAAGCAGCACGUGCCACUUCUGAAGAUAUGUACUCGGUGCGUCGCAAGAAAGGUACCUCAAGGUGCGUGGAUCCAGAGCCUCCUGCAACUUUUAAUAAUGAACGGUCAAUAGGAUCCAAAUUAACACUUGAUAGAUCCGAAUGCAUCCAGCUGGUAUCUCCUUCAAAAAAUCCAGUUAUUCCGGCCAAAUCAAGCGGCAUUCCCAAUUCAAUAUCAUUUUCAAUGGGAAUCUUUUUUUCUUGAACUAAAGUUGAUACAAAAUUUGGUAAGGCAUACUGCUUUACUGGAUUAGGUAUAUUGAUCAAUUUUGGAGGAAACGGCGGAGGAGGAAGAGGGUUAUGGUAUCUAACCCUCAAAAUAUAAUCUUGCCUCCUAUUUUCCUGCUUGAUUAGUCUGUUUUUCAAGUCUAGUUCUUACCAUUGAUGUGUUUUCCACAAAUACCCAAGGAGAUCACGUUCCCAUAUAACUUCCUAGCAUCACCCUAAAUUGGAAACGAGCGUCUAAUCUUCGCACCGGUAUGAAGUACGUUAUAAAUUGCUCAUUUUCGUUAAUUAAUUAAAAGAAAUCCAUAGUACUGAUGUUAGAAAUGAUAACGUGUAAGAUCGCAAUUCCCUAAAGCCGAGGAUUCACUAAUAGACGAUUAAUCAUUUUUAUUGUACGAAUUCUAAAAUCCCAGUAUUUAUGCAUGCAUCAUUAUGGAUGUUAAGGAUUUUGCGUCGAUUGUAUCACCUAUUGAAAUCGCCUUUUCUUUUAGCAUUAUACGAUGUUCACUCACUGUAGUCCAAUUUCAUUAUAUCAUUGUAACAAGUAAAUUCGAUGAUUUUUUGGUAAGCAAAUUUUCAACUAUUUUGUAUGUUGAUUACUACAGAUAAAAUAACCCAACUAAAUAAAAAGCAAUCCAAAAUUGAUUAAUGAAUGCUUGCCUAAUCUAGUUUAUUAAAGAAAUUUCAUCGUUCUUGCUAUACAGUCAAUUUUGUUGAGAUCUAAGAGACCAUGAGCAAAAAUUAAAUUAAAAAUUUGUAAAAAAAGAAUACUAGCUAAAAUCAUUGAAUAAAAGUGCUAAUAAACACAACCAAAUUCUUCUCAAUUUUUACUUAAUUUAUAAAGACAGAUAAAUGUAGCAAUGUAGAAGUUCAUGGUCCAAGUUCUGAAUUGUUUACGCAUAUCUUUAUUUAAUAGGUGAAUGGACUGUUAGUUAAUAAAGCCAUAAACUGCU
rnacentral:lncRNA from 1 species